GUGAAGGAUGGAGUGUGUGACUCACAAACAGAAUCAGAAAUGCUGCGCAAGGCUCCACAAAUCCUCUUUACCCGACAGUGCUGGUGCGCGCGCUCACCACCCGCAGAAACGCAGUAAUCGGAUCACACACACACACACACACUCACAGAUCAGCAGCUCUCCACACAUCUCCCGGACUCACCUCGAGGCGUGCGCAGUCAGAGACGCAGGGGGACGCGGAUGAUGAAGCCCAUGGAGGAGAAGAUGGAGGUUCCUCAGGAGUCUGUGAUUCCCGACUGAGGGAUUCUCCGAGACUCUGAUGCUGAUUUCUCGAGUGUUUCUCAACAUGGUCACAGUCAGCGACACCUGCUGGACACGCGCUGCAUUAAUCAGUCACACUCUCUCUGGCUUUGGGCUCUGAGGAUGGAGAGAUCACAGAUGAGGCAAUAAGAGCAGCUGGAGUGAUGAAGGGUCACUAGAUCAUUCUGAUAUUCCAUUCUGUUGCCAAGAUAUGAUACCAGAGCUAAAAAUGUUUAUAAACAUAUUAUUUUGCACAGUUCUUGAAACAUUCAGUGGCAUUUGUACAGUGCUUUCAUUUCUGUUAUUGUGUAAUUUGAUAUUGUUGUGUAAUUAUUUAUUUCUCAAUGAUAAUGGCCAAGCCAAUUAUUAGGCCAAUAAACAAGUAUUGUGUUAUAAUACCAUAUAGUUAAUAUUAUUGUAUGAAAUACCAUAUUUAUACACAGUAUAUAGCUCUAUAUAAAGUUUUGGUCUGACAGUAAGUGUUGUUUCAGAAGAUUCUCUUUGUUUUAUUAGCACAUAUGACAUGCUUAAUCUCCUUGAGUAAUAUAUUCACACUCCAUUAACAGUCAAAAUAAACACACCCUGAAUUUACACACUCUGUUUAAACACACAUAUAAUCACUGCACAUCACACAGAUACACACGCUCACUGACUGUCAGGGCUUCCAUUAUAAUAUACCACUGGGAUGAAAAGUUUGUAAAAUGUCAGUAUGACUAAGUCAUUAUCAUGGUAACAGUAAAUCCAGUCCAGCUGUGGAGGGGUAAAGCUGCAUUACAGAAACUGAUGUCAUCGGGUCACAGCGACUCACAGAUGGACGGUGACAUCACUCACAGGAAGUCCCUCACUCAGGAGAGUAAUGUCACCAAUGCAGCUGCUUA